CUUAAAGGAAUUGACGGGGCCCGCACAAGCGGUGGAGUAUGUGGUUUAAUUCGAUGCAACGCGAAGAACUUACCUGGUCUUGACAUCCCGGAGACCCUUAGGAAACUAGGGGGUGCUUCCAUCUGGAAGAAUCUGGAGACAGGUGCUGCAUGGCUGUCGUCAGCUCGUGUCGUGAGAUGUUGGGUUAAGUCCCGCAACGAGCGCAACCCUUGCCUUUAGUUGCCAGCAGUUCGGCUGGGCACUCUAAAGGGACUGCCGGUGUUAAACCGGAGGAAGGUGGGGAUGACGUCAAGUCCUCAUGGCCUUUAUGACCAGGGCUACACACGUACUACAAUGGCCGAUACAAAGGGCAGCGACACUGCGAGGUGAAGCCAAUCCCGUAAAAUCGGUCUCAGUCCGGAUUGGAGUCUGCAACUCGACUCCAUGAAGUUGGAAUCGCUAGUAAUCGUGGAUCAGCAUGCCACGGUGAAUACGUUCCCGGGCCUU
rnacentral:rRNA from 1 species